CUGAGAUUAAACACUGCUAUGCUGUUGCUUCUAGACUUGCAUGUUUUUGCUAUCCUACCUGUGUCAAUGUUAGUGGCUUUUUGGAGUCAAAUAGGUGGGGUGUGGGACAGGAUGCCUUGCUGAUACCUGGAGCGGUGGUGUUCUGCAGGAAGGACAGGAGGAACACAGCUGCUCCAAGACAUGCUUUUGGCACAGCAAAGGUUUAUUCUGCAGCUCCUCAGUGUGACAUCUGGAAACCUACCAGGUUAAAUGGAUAGUCAGCGACAAAUGCAGGAUCUUCAAAAUACUUUCUACAGAAAGCUGUUCCUGGGGGGAGAAUUCAGUGGAAUAUGGCUAACACUGAAGGAGGUCUUAUCUUUGGUAAAAGCAAUAGUGCUAGGAUUCUUGUUCCUUUUCUGGGCAAGUGCUGGCCAUGCCAUGGACUGCAGUCUGACAACAAGCCCUUUACAAGCUCUUUGCCACGAUUCAGUGAUCAUCUUUAAUCUGUAUAAUUCUGUUAUUUUCUCUGCUUACUCCCACUUAAGAAUGGCAAUAUCUACAGGUCAUGAGUGAAGGAAAAGUUCUGGGGAGUGCUGUUCUGAUGGUACUUGUCCCAGGCAAUGUGACUUUAUAACUGGGUGCUUACAGAAGAGUAAUUUCAGUUAAUCUAAUAAUUAGCAGUUUCAAGGAAUCCAUGGGAACCAGAGCUUUCUGUUGUAUUCUGUCUUUGUGAGUGGCGAUGUUUGGAUCAGUUUACUGACAUUGCACACCCUAGUGAGCAUAUACUCUAACAUCGAAGAACAGGCUAGUGCUGUGAUACUUCAAACAGUGUGGAAAAAAGCAUUCAGCUAUUGUUUUAAAUUGUCAUUGCUG
rnacentral:lncRNA from 1 species